rnacentral:misc_RNA from 2 species
UUAAGUUCAGCGGGUAAUCCUACCUGAUUUGAGGCCACACAGUAAAGUAGCGUCUCAUAGUGAGAACAUGAUUAGAAGCAGACGGCAUCAAGCCUUGGCCAGGUUUUACCCUGUCCCCGAUGAAUACUUAUUACAUCGAGUCGAACCAAGUCAUAGACAAGUCCAGCUAAUGAUUUUAAGGCGAGCCACUUUGCAGCAGC